GACGAACGCUGGCGGCGUGCUUAACACAUGCAAGUCGAACGGAAAGGCCCCUUUUGGGGUACUCGAGUGGCGAACGGGUGAGUAACACGUGAGUAACCUGCCCUUGACUUCGGGAUAACUUCAGGAAACUGGGGCUAAUACCGGCUAGGAAUCCUUGCUGCAUGGUGGGGGUUGGAAAGCUUCGGCGGUUUUGGAUGGACUCGCGGCUUAUCAGCUUGUUGGUGGGGUAGUGGCUUACCAAGGCUUUGACGGGUAGCCGGCCUGAGAGGGCGACCGGCCACAUUGGGACUGAGAGAAGGCACAGACUCCUACGGGAGGCAGCAGUGGGGAAUAUUGCACAAUGGGCGGAAGGCGGAUGCAGCAACGCCGCGUGCGGGAUGACGGCCUUCGGGUUGUAAACCGCUUUCAGCAGGGGCGAAGCUUGUGGUGACGGUACCUGCAGAAGAAGCACCGGCUAACUACGUG
rnacentral:rRNA from 1 species